rnacentral:lncRNA from 1 species
ACUGGAGACUGUGUGGUACGUCACUGGCGGACUUCCGGAGGCGCUGCUCAGGGAGCCUACUCUGAGCUCUGAGGUUCUUGUCGCCGGACGUGGAUUCCGUCAGUGGUGAGGGUUAGAAACUCAGAGACCACUCAGCGCGAGCGAACCGAGAGUCUAUACUGAGCCGCCGGCGACUGCCGGGGGGAAACCCUUCUCUCAGAGCAGCCGGAAGAACGCACUGUGCAGGGAGCUGUAAAAGGCAGAGAACACGGAAACACUACUUCCUUGUUUGCCGUUGGCAGGGAAAUAAAGUAAGCAAGCAGCUUACUAGAAGCCCAAAACGUGCAGUUGCCUGAGGCAUUUCCCCGAGUUUCUAGGACAGAGUUGGGGUACAGGACUUUUCACUUUCAUCAGGGAAUGAUGGUGUCAGUUUCCGGGUAAACCAAAGAUGGCUCCACCUGAGACAAAAUGGAGGAACUUUUACUAUGUCAUAGUCUGAGACAUGUUGCUUAUGAAGACAAUUCGAGGAAGUGCUAUUAAUUGUUUAAAAUCUUGUGUCUGAGAAAAUUUUGGAAACGCGAGAAGAGCACUAGUUGAGGAAUGGAGGAAAGUAUAAGAAAACAAACAAACAAACAAACCAAGCUUUGGGGGAAAUCUUUCUAAAGACCUUGUUAGGCCCAGACAUACUCCAAUGCCUUAAAUGGCUGGGUUUUUCCUCUGAAACAAUUGCUAAUGUAGAGAGAGUACUGGUGGCUCAUAUAUUUAGUGGUGAUUCAAAACAAGGUUGUUGUAAGAAUAGAUUUUUUAGCGGGUGGUGGUGGUGCUCGCUUUUAAUCCCAGCACUUGGGAGGCAGAGGCAAGUGGAUUUCUGAGUUCGAGGCCAGCCUGGUCUACAGAGUGAGUUCCAGGACAGCCAGGGCUACACAGAGAAACCAUGUCUGGAAAAAAUAAAAAAUAGUGAGCUUUUGUAUUCAGUGUUCAGUGUAUAAGCAAGAUCCUUCUCAGCUAAAUUUAGACCCAGGCAUAGUGGCAUACACCUUUAAUCCAUGGAGAUAAGGCCAAGCAGAUCUCUGAGUUCAAGGCCAGCCUGGGACAAGCAGGUUCUAGGUGAAGAGCUUAACUCCAGGCCUGGUGGUACAUGCCUUUAGUUCCAGCAUUACAAGAGACAGCCAUGUAGGUCUCUGAGUUCAUUUCAGGAAACCCAAACUUAGGCAGAGAGGGAGUUAGAAAACAGAAAGCUGAUAAUAGAACAUGGUGGAGGUGGGAGGACACAUUCCAGCUUCAGCAAGCAGCAGAACUUGGCAGCUUUGGCCAUGUGGCUCUGGCUUUAAAGAAGGGAUUACUGGGACAAUUGAUGCUGGUAGCUGGAGCUAAGAAAUUAGUGGUGAUUACGAAGAGACCAGCGUCACUGAAGUGAAAUCUUCUGGGAAGUGUUUUCUGAGAGCACAAAGAAACUGUGUUCCAGAGAUAGCCAAGGCUAGAUCUCGAGCUGCAGCUCUACGUGGUAAUGUGUAAGGGUCACCCAGGUGGUUUUGAAGGCGUGAAGUGAUCAGAAAGAGCAGCUGAGGCUUAGCACUGUGCAAGGCCAUGGAUGGCCAUUGGUGAAGGUGCCACCCCAGUUGUAGUUGAUGGCCCAGAACUGAGUCAUGCAAAGAAGUUGAACCAUGAAGAGAACCUAUGAGAGGCUAUUGGUGAAGCCUAGCUGCAGCAGAAGACCCCAGUGUGUUGUAGAUGCUAGUAUCAUAGGAUGAUUGCCAAGAACAGCAGUAGCAGUGAAAUACAUCAACCUGAGUUUAGAGUGCUACAGAGGGCAGAACUGGAGAAGUGAUGGCAGCCCUUUGGAAGAGCCCAGAAGAAAUGAGAACUUAUAGUAAAACAAAAAUAAUCAUACACAGAUGUUUACAGGAGGUUUAUGUGUAAUAGUCAACAAUAAUGGUAAUCAAUGGAAUGGUUAAAUUGGAUGAAUAAACUGGUUCAUUGAAAACAUCAACAAGAAAAUGCAACAGGCUUGAUAGGCAUACCCACUUACCAGAUCUCAGGGGCAUUAUUCCAAGUUAAAAGAGGCAACCUCCAAUGGCAUACUCCUAAAGUUCCUUUAUAUAGUAUUGUCAAAAAUAAAAUUUUUAGAGAUGAAAGAUGUGAUUAUAAGGGUUUAUUUAGGAUGGUAGAGAAGAGUGGGUAUAAGUAUGAAGGAGUAGAUUGAUUCAUUGUGAUGGGCAGGUUCUCCACCUUGAUAAAAUGGCAUAUAACUAUAAUAUACAUACAUAUAUACAUACAUACAUACAUACAUACAUACAUACAUACAUACAUACAUACAUCACACCGAUGUCAGCUUCCUGAAUUUUAUAUUGUGCUAUAUGUAGGUAGUGUGUGAAGUGAAAAUUAUGGUUUCUUCGGAAAGUCAGUUGUGUCAGAUGGUGUUUUGCUGGGUCAAACAUGUAACCUCCCUCAACCUUGAAGCAGGCUGAUCCAGACUUUGACCUUGCUGCCACUAAGAAGGAGAUUACCUAGGGUUGAGCCUUCUGACCUUGAUGGCUCUAUUUGCUCUUCUCCAAGACUCUGCUUCCUGCUGAAAGGUCCUGGAGACGUUCCGGAGACACACCCUGUAGAUCGCCUACGGGCUGGCUCCAGGCACCAAGAAUGGGCUGGUGGGGGAUGGGCUUACCCUCUUUAUAAGCACGGACUCUCAGUAAACUUCGGGGGGCCUUGAACAGAAA